UACAGAGGGUGCGAGCGUUGUCCGGAAUCACUGGGCGUAAAGGGCGCGUAGGUGGCGGGACAAGCAUGCGGUGAAAGCUCGGGGCUCAACCCCGAGUCGGCCGUGCGAACUGUUUUGCUUGAGCACUGUAGAGGCAGGCGGAAUUCCGGGUGUAGCGGUGGAAUGCGUAGAGAUCCGGAAGAACACCGGUGGCGAAGGCGGCCUGCUGGGCAGUAGCUGACACUGAGGCGCGACAGCGUGGGGAGCAAACAGG
rnacentral:rRNA from 1 species